UACGAAGGGUGCUAGCGUUGUUCGGAAUCACUGGGCGUAAAGCGCGCGUAGGCGGCUUUUCAAGUCAGAGGUGAAAGCCCGGGGCUCAACCCCGGAAUUGCCUUUGAAACUGUAAAGCUUGAGUGUCGGAGGGGAUAGCGGAAUUGCUAAUGUAGAGGUGAAAUUCGUAGAUAUUAGCAGGAACACCGGUGGCGAAGGCGGCUAUCUGGACGACAACUGACGCUGAGGCGCGAAAGCGUGGGGAUCAAACAGG
rnacentral:rRNA from 1 species